rnacentral:misc_RNA from 1 species
CCUUUCUACGGAGUACAAUUACACUUUAUUUUUGGUAAAAAUCUUAUAAGUACUAGUUUUAAAUUAAUUAAAUUUUUAAAACAUCACGAUGUCUUAUGAGUCUUGUGUGUUGGUGUAGCCAAAAGCACUCUAAUAUUCAGUUUUGAGAGUAUUUACUCUCUAAAUUAAUAGAUCUUUGAAAACUGAAUAGCAUAUAAAUUAAUAUGAUAACGACAUCAAAAUAUAUUUUGUGAAAAUAAUUUUGAUCCGAGUUAAGACCAAUUAUUGGUCUUUAUAAAUACCUUAAGAAUACAUCAAAAAACAUUUUUUUAAUAGGAAAAAAUAGUUACUUAAACUUUUAAAUAAGCAAGAGUUUGUAGUGGAUGCCUUGGGUCUGGAAGUCGAUGAAGGACGUGAUUACCUGCGAUAAGCUUCGGUUAGUUGGAAAUAAACUAUGAGCCGGAGAUCUCCGAAUGAGGAAACUCGAUACAAGUA